UACGUAGGGGGCAAGCGUUGUCCGGAAUUAUUGGGCGUAAAGAGCUCGUAGGUGGUUUGCUGCGUCCGCUGUGAAAACCCAAGGCUUAACCUUGGGCUUGCAGUGGAUACGGGCAGACUAGAGGUAGGUAGGGGAGAAUGGAAUUCCCGGUGUAGCGGUGAAAUGCGCAGAUAUCGGGAGGAACACCGGUGGCGAAGGCGGUUCUCUGGGCCUUACCUGACACUGAGGAGCGAAAGCGUGGGGAGCGAACAGG
rnacentral:rRNA from 1 species